rnacentral:rRNA from 1 species
GUCUACAGUCAUGCCACCCCGGUAUGUGCCAGAUCUCAUCUGAUUUCGGAAGCUAAGCAGGGUCAGGCCUACUUAAUACUCUUUGAACCCUCUAAGCCUAUUAGGAAAGUAGAAA